UACGGGGGGGGCAAGCGUUGUUCGGAAUUACUGGGCGUAAAGGGCUCGUAGGCGGCCAACUAAGUCAGACGUGAAAUCCCUCGGCUUAACCGGGGAACUGCGUCUGAUACUGGAUGGCUUGGGUUCGGGAGAGGGAUGCGGAAUUCCAGGUGUAGCGGUGAAAUGCGUAGAUAUCAGGAGGAACACCUGUGGUGUAGACAGCUUACUGGACCAUUACUGACACUGAGACACGAAAGCGUGGGUAGCAAACAGG
rnacentral:rRNA from 1 species